CAGCCCACGGCCUAGUUUAGGGCUGAAGAGACUCAUCUCUCUUGUUUUUUCACCGCCAUAGCUUUUUUCUUCGAAGUUCCUUCACUGCUUUUCUACCAAGCUCGAAGGAACCUUUUCUUCCAUUUGUAGCCAUUUCCCUAAUCUCAAAUUGAUUUCUUGAUUUUUUUUUCUUUAUAUUCCCCUCCUCCUCCAAUUUGAUAACUUGUUCGGUAAUCCAAACCCUAACAUUUUAUUCUUGAUGACUUCCAAUUUUCGGCUUCCGCAGUGUUGAUGAUUUUGUAUGCGCUUGUCGAAAUCUGAAAUUCUGUUUAUUGUUUCUUGGGGUUGAUGCGCUAGGAAUUACUGCAGAAAGCCAGCUUCAGUAUGGGGUUUGACAACGAGUGCAUAUUAAACAUUCAGUCUCUUGCUGGGGAAUAUUUCUGUCCAGUUUGCCGCUUGCUUGUUUACCCACAUGAAGCGUUGCAGUCACAGUGCACUCACUUAUAUUGUAAGCCUUGUUUAACGUAUGUGGUUAGCACCACCAGGGCUUGUCCAUAUGACGGAUACUUGGUUACAGAAGCCGAUUCUAAGCCACUGGUUGAAUCAAAUAAAACUCUUGCUGAGACCAUAGGAAAGAUAGCCGUUCAUUGCCUGUAUCACAGGAGUGGAUGCACUUGGCAAGGGCCAUUGUCUGAUUGUGUAACUCAUUGUUCUGGAUGUGCUUUCGGUAAUUCCCCUGUUUUAUGCAAUCGUUGUGGGAUUCAACUUGUACACCGGCAAGUACAGGAGCACGCACAAACUUGUCCAGGUGUGCAGCAGCCUCAAGCACAACAAGCAGACGCUGCUCAAGGUACCACAGUUAGUGGGACGGCAGCUGCUACUGAUCAAGCCCAGUCUGCUGGAAUGGGAAAGUCUCAAGGUCAAGCCCAACCUUCACAGAGUGUAGGAGUUAGUGCUCCUGCACAGGAUCCCAAUCAGCAGGCUAAUGCAACUUCCCAGGGUCCAGCUGUUGUUCAAGCUGCUUUGCCGAGUUCAGAACAGUGGUAUCAGCAGCAGCAACAACAGUAUCAACAGUACUACCAGCAGUAUCCUGGAUAUGAUUCUUAUCAACAUCAGUACCAGAACUACUAUCCUUACCAGCAGCAAGCUGGUGUACCUUAUCAGCAUUCACAGCCAUCCCAGGCUCUUCCUUCACAAGUAGCCACGCAGCAUCCAUCUCAGGCGUACAUUCAACCCCAGACUCAGACUCAGCCACAGCCACAGCCUCAGCCUCAAACCCAAGUUCCAGUCCAUCACCAACCCCAAUCCCAAUCCCAAUCCCAACCCCAACCCCAACCCCAACCCCAACCCCAACCCCAAACCCAGGCUCAACCUCAAUCUCUAUCACAGCCUCAACCAUUAUCUCAGCCACAUGGACAGUCUCAAUUACAUAUGCAUGCCCAAACACCUGCUGUUGGUCAAUCUCAAAACCAGGGACAGGUCAACCCUCAACAGCAGAUUUAUCAUGCUGCAACCCUGCAUUCUCAGAUCCAACCGCAAGGUCUCCCACCUGCCCCUGGCCAACCUCAACCUCAACCUCACUCAUAUCCUCAAGUUCAGCCUACUUCGCAGCAACCUGUACAUAUGCCUCAAUAUCAGCAGUCUCAUUCCCAGGCUCAGAUUCAGCAACAGAUGCAUCCUCCUUUCCAUCCGCCUCACCAUUCUGUUUCUCAGCCACCAUCCCAGUCACAAGCUCCCACUCAACACCAUUCUCAGCUUCCUAAUCCACAGAUCAAUCAAUCUCUAUCCUUGACUCCUAAUGCACAACCCCAAACACAGAAUCCACCAACAUAUGCUUCAACAGGCUAUCCUUCUUAUCCCCAGCCACAACAUCAUCAGCAAAUGCAGUUGGGAGUUCCUCAGAAUGUCCCAUCGGCACCACAAGGUGGGGCUCACCAACAAUCCCAACCCCUAGUUCAAAUGCAGUCUCAAUUGCCCCAACCACCUCCCAUGCGCCCAUCCCAACCACCUCUGUACCAAAACCAGCAACAACCACCAAUAUUGCCGUCCUCCAAUCAGGUUCAAAAUGUUUCCUCUGCACAACAACUGCAUAUACACUCCCAUGCUCAACAACCUGGAGGCCCUGGACAGGCAGCCAACCAGCGUCCUGUCAUGCAGCUAGUGCAACAGUCUCAAUCCCAGCAAGUUGUGCAUCAACACCAGCAUUUUGGACAGCAAGGGCAGUUUAUACAGCAUCAACUGCAUAUGACACCCCAAAUGCGUCUACCUGGACCUCCAAAUUCUUUGUCACAACAUAAUCAUGCCUAUGCGCACUUGCAGCACAAUGCCAAUCUACCUCAUGGCAUGCAACACAAUCCUUCUCAAAGUUCUGAAGGAAGGCCUUUAGUGCCUAACCAAGGAGCACAGUCUAUUCCUUAUUCACAGUCCAUGGUUGGUGUUCCAGUGAGAGCAAUACAGCCUGGUGCUAACCAGCCUACUAUAAAACAGGGACCCACAUUUGGUAAAAAUAGUAACCAGGUGCAGUUGCCGGAUGGAUUUGGUGAACGCAAAUUAGAAAAGGGCCCAGAUGGGCGAGAGAGUGGAUUAUCUUCUCAAAAGGAUGCCAAAAGAGCUGCAAAUCAUUUGGAUGUGUCAUCUACUAUGGGGACAAAUGCUGGUGAGUUGAAGAUUGACAAAUCCGAAGCUGAUAAAGGUAGAUAUGCCUUUGGGGAUAAAUCUAUUCAUUUUGAUACAUCUACUGAACGUACUCCACAAAAUGGAGCAAUGGACUCUAAUUUACAUGUAGGUGACAGUGGUAAGACCAAGCAGGUUGAGCUAAAGGUUAAGGUAGAAGCAGCAGAAGGUACUUUUGAUCAUUCAAGCAAUGAUAAGUUGGGGGAAGUUAGUAUUCUGGACCAGAAAGAUCUUGGCACUGAACCUAAAAAAAAGGAGGAUUUGGUUAUUGAGAAUAAAGGAAAUCAGGAAGAAUUUAAGAUUUCAUCACAAGACACUGAACUACGUGAAGAACAAAGCAAGAGGAUGCAGAAUGACACUAGUGGAACUCCACACCCUUCCUCUGGUACAAAUGAGAGCCAACAAGGUGCCACUACUACAUCAUCUUUAAUACUUGGUAGUCCUGGCAUGUUGAAUCAACAUGGCUAUCAAGAUAAAAAUCCACCUCAAACUGGGGGCACUCAAAUUGGCGCAGCAGUGACUUCUCAUCCAGCUUCUCUAGUUGCUCACACAAGACAUCAGACACCACCCAGUAGUUAUGUGUCAUCUGCACUUCAACAUGGUGUGGCAGCACCGUCAUUACCAGGACCUCCUCCAGGACCUUAUCAUCAGGCACAAUUUUCAAAUAAUCCGUCCAUGCAAGUUAGGCCACGGGCCCCUGGCUUGGUAGCUCAUCCUGGACAACCUUUCAAUCCAUCUGAAUCAUUUCAUCUGGGUGGCAUUCCAGAAUCUGGUUCUGCCUCUUCUUUUGGCAGAGGGCUAGGUCAGUAUGGUCCUCAGCAAGCUUUGGAGCGGUCCAUUGGUUCUCAAGCAACUUAUAGUCUAAGCCAACCAUCUGCUUCUCAAGGGGGUUCGAAGAUGUCUCUAGGUGAUCCAGUUGGAGCACACUUCCGUUCAAAGCUUCCUGGGGCUUUUGAUUCAAGGGGACUGUUGCAUGCUCCUGAAGCUCAAAUUGGUGUUCAGCGGCCCAUUCAUCCUUUGGAGGCUGAGAUAUUUUCAAAUCAAAGGCCAAGACUUGAUUCCCAUCUUCCUGGGACCAUGGAACAUCAUCCACCACAUCUCACUGGGAUUCCUCCUAAUGUGUUGCCUUUGAAUGGUGCCCCCGGUCCUGAUUCCUCUUCCAAACUUGGCUUGAGGGACGAAAGAUUCAAACUGUUGCAUGAAGAACAGUUGAAUUCCUUUCCUCUGGAUCCAGCUCGCCGUCCUAUAAAUCAAACAGAUGCUGAAGAUAUUCUCAGGCAAUUUCCCCGGCCUUCUCAUUUGGAAUCUGAACUUGCUCAGAGAAUUGGGAAUUACUCUUUGAGACCUUUUGACAGGGGUGUGCAUGGGCAAAAUUUUGAUACUGGCUUAACCAUUGACGGUGCUGCUGCUUCAAGAGUUUUGCCUCCUCGUCAUAUAGGUGGUGCAUUAUAUCCUACAGAUGCUGAGAGACCAAUUGCUUUCUAUGAAGAUUCUACUGGACAAGCAGAUCGAUCUCGUGGCCAUUCUGACUUUCCUGCACCAGGAAGUUAUGGUCGGCGUUUUGUAGAUGGAUUUGGUCCAAGAAGUCCUUUGCAUGAAUAUCAUGGACGUGGGUUUGGAGGUCGUGGGUUUACGGGUGUUGAGGAAAUUGAUGGUCAAGACUUCCCUCAUCAUUUUGGUGAUCCACUUUCAUUUCGUGAGUCUAGAUUUCCUAUUUUUCGAAGCCAUCUGCAAAGAGGUGAUUUUGAGAGCUCUGGUAAUUUUAGGAUGAGUGAACAUCUGAGAACUGGUGACUUAAUUGGACAAGAUAGACAUUUUGGACCUCGAAGCUUGCCCGGGCAUUUACGCUUGGGUGAGCUGACUGCUUUUGGUUCUCAUCCUGGUCAUUCUCGGAUAGGAGAUCUGUCUGUGCUUGGUAACUUUGAGCCAUUUGGUGGAGGGCAUAGGCCAAAUAAUCCACGGCUUGGUGAACCAGGAUUUAGAAGCAGUUUUUCUCGUCAGGGGCUUGUAGAUGAUGGGAGAUUUUUUGCAGGAGACGUUGAAUCUUUUGAUAACUCAAGGAAGAGGAAACCAAUCAGCAUGGGAUGGUGUAGGAUUUGCAAAGUUGAUUGCGAAACAGUUGAAGGCUUGGAACUACAUUCACAAACUAGAGAGCACCAGAAGAUGGCUAUGGAUAUGGUGCAGAGCAUCAAACAAAAUGCAAAGAAACAUAAAGUAACUCCAAAUGAUCAUUCAUCUGAGGAUGGCAAAUCAAAGAAUGUUGGUCUUGAGAGCCGCGGGAAAAAGCAUUAAAUUUGCAACUCUUCUCACACUCAUGGACUUCGUUUUACAGGGGCCAAUUUUGUUUCCUUGGUCUUGUUGCAUCUAGUGAUAUAGAUCUUUCAAUACAACCUGUACUUUCCUGGGCGAAGCAGACUACUACCAAAAUGCUGAAAGUUCAGUGGGAAGGGUUAGCAAGUCAUCUUUGUUUGAGGUGGUAAGAAUGUGUUUGAUGUAAAGAUGCAUUAGUUGGAAAUCACUUUGCUGUGUUUCUAUUCAUUAAUCUUGCACUGAUGGUUGUUUCUUGCCCUGUACUCUUUUCACGUUAAAGUCAUAAAACUUAGGCGCCACUCACAAAUUUUCAUUAUUAGGGGAGGAACCUCCUCCUCCGCCUCCUCUUCCCCUCUCUCUCUCUAUUCUUCUUUAUCUUCCUUUUUUUGUGUGAUAGAAAACUGAAAUAGAUUACCCUAAUAGUGCAGAGAGUGAGGGGUGUAAACCGAAAAGCAAUGAAAUGGAUGUUAUCUUAGUUCUGGAAGUGCACCCUAGGAAUAAGAUGAAGUUCUACGCUAAUCCCCAUAUUUCUUUGAAUUCAUGGUCGUGUUCUAAAAAUUUGUUUGGUUUCUAGUUAACCAAACAGACCAAUAGAUGACGUAGAUUUCACUUUAUUAGUAGAGUGGGAAAGCACAUCAUAAAGCAAUUGCUAAUUUGCAAAAGUCCUAAGCACCAGCUGAUUCUUUCUCUUAUAGAUAUAAUUUUGUGGAAGCAGCGAAUAUUUUGUUUGCCAUAAACAGCUUUCCAAAUCUUUUUAACCAUAGUCCUCAUCCACCACACUUAGAUACAUGUCUUUCUUUUCCUUUUUGUCCGUCUCUUGUCUUUUGCUUCUUCUCCUCCUCUUCAUCCCUCAAGUCUGUGGAACUGACUUUUCUUCUUCCUCUUUUUUCUUGUGACUCCUUUGGUUUCAUUCUGACUAAAGAACAAUUCAGGUAUUUGGUGUAUACCUUUUGUAUGAACCAAAUCAAAAAAUAAUAUCCUGGGGGAUUCUGAUUUCUAGUUUUUUUUUAUGCUCGCUAAAAAUUUGCUGAGAUGAUAAUUAAAUUUAUAAAAAUACAAAGUAAUGGGGAUAGGCAGAGAAUGUAAAGAGAAAAAUAGUAUAUGGAGAGAAACUAUGUUGUAAUUAGUGUGAGAAAGUUCUAUGUUGCGACAAGAUAAAGUUCAGCGGGAAAAUGCUGGGAGUUUGCCAUGAGAAGUUAGUGAGAGAAGAGAAGGCUUGUGAAGAGAGAUUAGUGAAAAAUAGUGUACAAGAAGGAAGGUAGGGAUAGAAACUAAGUAGAGAAAAAUGUGUAUAGAACGUUAUUAAGGAAUAAUAUGAGCCAUGGGGAUUGUGUAAACCAAAAACACUUGAUUAGAGCACCAACGAUUUAUUUCUUUAAAAAGCACUUCUAAGUGUGCAUUUGAAUGUAUUGAUUGGUGCUUUCAAAUUGUAUUUAUAAAGCACAAACUUUUGAGGGAGGAAGCACGUUUAAGUUUAAGUUUAACUAAGUACUAUGUCAUGGUGAAGAGCACUCCCAAUAUGGAUCCUUCUUCCAUAUUUUCCAGCAUUUAUGUAUCUUUAAGCUCUUGGAGUCCCAAGUUGGUUAGUUUCCUUUUUUCUCCAACUUUCAAGCCUUAAUAUGUUCACCUUAGUGUUCACUUACUGUUUUUAGCUUAAGGUUCUAUCAAUAAAUUAGGAAGUGCAGCAACAGGGAAUUGAUUGUCGAUCCAGGCUUCUUCCCAUGGUUAUGCUUUCCAUAUCCUACUUCUGUCUAGGGGUGUAAAUGGGUUGGGGGACAUUCCCAACCCAACCCAUAUUUUUGGGUUGGUUGGGUUGGCAACCCGAACAACCCAAAUAGUAUUCCCAACCCAACCCAUAUUUUAAGGGUUGGGUUGUAUUGAUUUUGCAAAAGAGAGUUGGAUUUCUAGAUUCAACUUUUCCUUUUCUAAUCUCAUAAUUCCAAUCUUAGUCAAAACACAAAAAACUACUAAAAAUGUAGAUUUACUAAUUUUUUAAUGAAGAAUAAAGACUCAAAAUAAAAAAUCACUGACAUUUGGACGUCGGAGAUUAAGAAGGAGAUGGUGAACCUCGGAAAUGAGAGGUCGAUGGUGAAUGCCGGAGAUGAGUGGUCGAGACGAGGCAUGAAGAAAGAUUAGGCGUGGCGUGAAGAGUAAGAGAUGAGGAGACGAUGAGUCAGAGAGAUGUGAAGAGUCAAAGAGUGAGAGAUGAGAAGGACUGAAGGAGACCGUGAGACUGAGAGAGAUGAGGUGCGGCGUGACCUAGUUCUUUUCCAUUUACUAAAUUAUUAAUAAAAUAAAUAUAUCAUUAAUUAUUAAUUCGAUUUGAGUUGGGUUGAACCAAAAUUUUUAACCACCAACCCGAUACCCAACCCAAGCCAACCCUUAUAAUAUGGGUUUGGGUAGUUCAGGAUCGGGUUACCCUUACACCCUGGCAGUCUGACAAUGGUUUGAGAUAUUUCCUUCCAAUUUAGCAAUAUUUCUCCUUUGGAAGGUUAAGGUAGUGGAAGUUUGUUUUGGGUGGAAUAACUUAUUAUUGUGGAGUGUUUCUUUGACAAAUUUUCUCGUUUUAUAGUGGGUGAGCGAAGGUGGACCUAUUUUUAGGAAGUUAUUUGGUAAGAAAUUAAGGGGGUGUUUGAGGCAAGAAGUUAGUUAUUAUAGUUUGUGUUUGAGGUACGGAUUAUUUUAGUUUGAGUUAUCAUAAUAUGUGUUUGAGGUGCAAACUAUUUUAAUUUGAUGGCAAUAGUAAACAAUUUAGCAAAAAUUUAAAAAAUGCGGGAGGUAAAAUAGUAAAAGCGGUAAAAAAUGGAGGGAGGGUUUUGAAAUAGCGUUGAUUGUAGCCAAUUUGAAGUAGUAUUUAUUGUAGUGAGAGGUGGUUUGUCUCAAAUGCCCUGAAAGCAUUUUUCUCCAUUUAUAAUCUUUAGAUGGUUUCUAGCAUUCUUUGAUUAAUUUAUGAUGGUUUGAAUAGAAUAAUGAAGUCUUAAGUUUGCCACCAGAAGAUAUCUUCAGGUGGAAAUUCAGGAAUUUAGUUCCUUGCUAUGCUGGAAGGUUUACCAGAUUUCGGGUAUUUCAGGUGUUUUCUGUAGGAGUCCUAGUGAGGGAUAUUAGCAUGGUAUAUGGUAAGGGCAUAAUGGUAAUGAAUAAGGGUAAUUACUUAGGGAGCAAAUGUAUUUGGUUAUACAUAUAGGGAGGGGGUUGGAGGGAUGAUGGCGAAUUGUUGAGUGACCUAGAAAGAUUCCAAGUGCCUUUAUACAUGGGCUAUCUUGUAGUUUCAUCUUUAUAUCUCAAUACCAAGAGUGUUCGUGGGUUGGAGGACUUUUUAGCCCAAUCCAAUUGUUUGAGUUGUAAAUUUCUUCAACCAACCAACCUUUAUUAAAAAAUGAACCAAAGUUAACAGAACCACUGAACAUUUAGGUUGGGUUGGUUCUAGUUAAUCAGGUCAUUUAUUUAAAUUUUUAUUCUAGAAAGAAGUAAAAUGUUUAUACGUAAAAAAUUGAUUUAAUUAUUUUCAUAUAUUGAAUUAAGAUUAAAAGUUCAAUUUCACAUAUAAUGAAAAAUUUCGUUCCAAAGUGCUAAAAAACUUUUUGUAGGAAUUGUUGGAGAAUAAAUUAUCUGAAAAAUAAUGAAAUUUAAUAAAACUAAAAUAAAUAUAUGAAUAAAAUCAUUAGUAAAAAUAUACAUUUUAGAAGUAAUAAUAAGUUCAGGUUGGUUUGACUUAUUUUAAGUGAAGCCAUAAAACAUCCCAAUCCAUAAAAUUUUCAUUUAUUUGAACCCAAACCAGCACAAACGAGUUGAUGAUAACCCAACCCAAGUUCGUAGGAUUGGUUGGGUUGAUCUUUUGUUGGGUCAUUGGGUUUUUUGAAACCCUUACUCAACAUAUAUUCUUGUUAGGAAGCAUUCUAACAUUUUCUUGUGCUUUCCUUAGUCACUAAGCUUUUUAGCUCUCUUGGAGCCUAGGCGCGAGUCACACAAAGUGCAGGUUUUCUUUUUGUGAUGUGCACUACAUAAGAAAAUAUUACUUAAUUAUUAUUGUUUUUUAAAAAUAAUGAAAAAGCUCCAAGGCCCAAGCUUUAAGCCUUGGGACUUCACAAAAGGUGUGCGCCUUAUUUUGUGAGCCUUGCCUUUCCAAGGUGAGGCGCAAGACUUGUGCUUUGAGCCUAGGUGCCUGCCCAAGAGGGCUUUUUAAAACACUGGCUAAGUCUAGAAAUCCCAGUUAGUUCAUUGUGUUUAUUUGGACCUUGCUAAAGGGUAAACAAUGCUAAAAAUUUAUUAUUAUUUAUUAUUAUUAUUAUUAUUAUUAUUUGAUAGAAACAAUUGUUUUUCAUUGAGGGAAAAAAAAAGAAAAAAAACAAGCCCACAAAAAAUGGCCCUAAAUAGUGAGUUUCCAACUAGGGGAGAUAUCUCCUAAAAAGUAAUCACAAAAAGCUGACGAAAUUUAUUAAUGGGAGUCAUUUUGCUUGCUUUAGAAGCAGCUGGUUCGUAUGCAGUUUAUGAAAGUCAAAAGGGUAGUGAAAUCAAGUCAAAAGGGUAGUGAAAUCAAGUCAAAAGGUAGUGAAGAUCAAGUCAAAAGGUAGUGAAGAUCAAAACCAUAUCUUAUUUUGAUUGGUUGUUAUUCUGGAAAUCUGGCAGCACCUUGUGUAAUUGUUUUUGAGUUCUUGAGGUUUUUUGACAAACGUUCCAUGAACCUUGCAAUAUCAUUUAGAGAAGUGAAGUUCAAGAGUUUUUAGUGAAACACAUCUUCUCGUGGUUUAUAUAAAUAUUGCAGGCAGACCUGAUCGAUUAGCUUCCUCAAGAAAUUGCCUAAUCCGUUUUACACAAGGCCAUUACUCCAUUUGCUCAAAUGGCCAAUUGUUACUGGCCUCCAUUUCUUAGUUUAGGCACCCAUCGAUUUGUAGCUGAUUGCCUGGGGCAUGGGAAAAAUAGAUGUGAUAGGUUUGGAAAAUGUUAGAACGGCUUUGUGUAGUGCCAAUUUUAGACUUUUAGGAACGGUAUCAUGAAACUUUACAGCUUGCAUGUCUCUCUUUCCCUUGUGGGUUUUUUUUUUAAAGAAAGAAGUCCUUUGCUUACCUUCCUCGCCUAAACAAGAUGAAGUUAAGACACUCAUUUUAGGAUCAGCCUCUACUACAUCCUUUGUGGGACGAAGCUAGUGAUUUUUUUUCUAAAUGAGUACUUUGCAUCUGAAGUGAAACCUUGAAUUUGGAUACACUUACACCAUGAUGAUAUUGACAAUUUUUUUAUUAGAAAUAUGGAAAAUAUAUUACCCAACAAAUAGAAUAAACAGCCCUACUCAACAAAUAAGGGCAGUAGAAGAGAGCUUCCCCUGCCGAAGAGAACUAACUUCUUUUUGGUAGUUUGGUUACUAUGCUACUUUUGCUUGUACGUGGUUUUCUAACCCAAAUUUAUACUAGCUGGGCUUCUUUUUUGUAAUCUUUUUGUGUGUGGCUAAGUCUAGAAACCCAAAUUUCAUCUCCUCUUCCUUCCUUUUGUAUCGUUCUUUGUGAUAAUGUUAUUGCAUCUCUGUCGAAAGUUACGUUUCUUAAAGAAAAAAAAAACCCUCCAACGCAGAUGAUCAACGAAAUAGGGAAUCAGAAUCAUAGAAUAAAAUUCCAAGUAAGAGUAUACUCAUCAUCAAAAUUUUCUUUUGUUUAUUUUAAGCCAAGGACCCCAAAUCAAAGCCUGCAACACCCGAUAAGCAAUAUUGUUCCUUUUGACCUCAGGCUCUUAGGCUUUUGGUUAGUGGCCACCUUGAAGGGCUUUAUUUAUUUAUUUAUGUAUUUUUAGAAUUUUGUUAUCAAAUACUGUCGCAUGGGUGGUCUGAGUUUCUUAACCAUAGGGUUGUAGGUUGUUUGAUUUACCUCAGUUUUUGGGUAAAAUUGUAGUCGAACCAUUUGUUUAUUGAAGGAAACUAAACAAUGGAAGCUGAAUCACCCAGCAGUGGUAAUUGUAACCAUACCUACCGAAUCACAUAUACCGUUUGUUUCGUAAGUUAGGUUAAUGGUUCACCACUUGUUGAAUUAAGGCGCUUGAGGAUGGGGUGGCUAUGAAGGUGGGUCUGGUGUGAAAGAGUAAAUUAACAUGUUGGGCUGUCGUUUGGUUGGUUGAGGUAAGUGCACUGUCGUUUGGUUGGGCUGCUCGCUGCUGUGCUGUCAACAACUGAGCUGUGUGCAUGUGACACUGAUCGACUUGGCAAAGGGUGUGCGUCAUUGUCAUUGCCAUUGAUGGGAUUGUGUUAUGGAUCUCCAGAGUAACUUCAAUCAACGACAGAAAUGCCCAAAUCAAGUGCGGACCAUGAACCAUGUGAUAUGUGAUUCCAUUUCAGACUAGUGCUUCUUUCUAAAUAAUGUUGAUUGAUGAAAAUUGAAGUUGGAAUUGUUAAAUCGAAUUAGAGCUAUGAAAUAAAAGAGAAAUACCAUGUUUUAUGGAUAUGAGAUUAAACCAUUCCAACUCUCAGUUGCUUCCUUGAGUGGCUAAAUCUAAAUACUAACUAAAUACAGUAAAUAUACUAGGUAGGAAACAAACAAAAAAGGAAGGAAAGAAGAUUAUCUAAUCAGUUGACUUAGGUGAUGCUUGGCGUGCUCACACUCCUAAAUGCAAUUAACCGAUUAGCUUUCUUCAAGCCCUAACUUACUGCUUGUGAGCCUAGUUGGAAUCUAACCAUCGAGCAUUUCAGAUGGUUUUUCUGGUUCUGCUUGCUCCCCUUGAUCAGACGAGUAGUAACCUUUCUGCAUGAUUUUUAUUAGGUUUUCUACUCUUUCUUUGGGAUUGGUGGGAUGGGGUGAAAUCAUAUUUUCAUUAAUUUUCACAUGAAUACAAGCAAUUUUAUAUCAUCUAUGGUUAAAAUGUUUGUAAGUUUACAUUAUACCUCGCAAGUUUUUGUUUUGGUUGGUACGAUUCAACACAAUUUAUUUAUUUAUUUAAGUUAUGCUUUCAUUAUAAGCAGGUGUUUUAAUUUGUUUCCAGUGGAAUCAGUUAAUUUUCUGGGCUAGAAAUAGAAUUGCGAACCAUUUGUUUGUAAUAUCUUUGUAAAGAUUUCAGGUAGUAGAAAACUAUAGGAUCGGGAUUUUGACCUUGGCUUUGAACCUUGAGAAGGUAUGAAUGAAUGUAGUUGAAAAAUCCCAGGCAUGACAGAGGAUUGGUCGUGGUUCAAACCAAUAAAGAAUUUUCAAUUUGCUUUGAAGCCAAAACGCCAAAUUACACUCUUUUGUACGCCAAAUAGAUUUUUUUUUUUUAAUAAAUAAAAAAAUUGUUGGUAGCAUACUUUGGCGAUAACUCUUUUGCAAUUAUAGGACUAAUUAGGAUUAGUUUGAGAUUGGAAUACUACUUUUUUUUACUACGUACCUUCAAUUAGCCUUUUCAUUUCAUUGAUUUGCAUCAGAUUAGAACUUAAAAGAACUGGGUUGCAGAAUAGGGAAAAAAGAGACCCCCCCAAAAAUACCCAGAACUUGGUCAAGAAUUUUGCCAUAGAUUUUAGAGAAUUUACAUGAAACACAGAGUUUUGAUGCUUCAAAAAAAUGUGAAAAAAAGGAUGAAAAUUGAACCAAAGCUACAUUCAACCUAUAAAUAAAAAAUUAGAGGAAAGUUAAUUGUGGACUUUGACAAGAGAAAAUGGGAGACUAGUGAUAUGGAUUUUUUUUUAUUAUUUUGUAUGAUUAUUAUGGACUAACUGUUUUAACAUAUUUGAUUUUAAUGAAUUAGUAGGUGGCUAUAAAAUCGUCUCUGCACUCUUCAAUCUCGGUGUCGCAGCCCUCACUCUCUUUUUCUUUUAUUUUGUAAUUUUGGAGUCCAUUUAGGACUUUUUUUUUUUUUGGGAACCAUAUCUCGGACUUAUUUUCCUAAUGGUCCUGUAAUAAAUCAUUAUAUCCCUUCAUUUCGUAAUUUAAAUUUUCUUCUAUAUGCUUUCCUCCCUUAAUUUUGUAGUGGAUUUGUUUUUUUAUUUUAAAAUGGAUAUCCCUAAAUGUAUAAUGAUCA